rnacentral:rRNA from 1 species
AGGAUUAACGCUGGCGGCGUGCCUAACACAUGCAAGUCGAACGAGGGGGGCAACCCCCGAGUGGCAGACGGGUGAGUAACGCGUGGUCAACCUACCCUAGAGUGGGGAAUAACUAGCCGAAAGGUUAGCUAAUACCGCAUGAUACGUUUUGGGACAUCCCAGGACGUUGAAAGGAGCAAUCCGCUCGAGGACGGGACCGCGUCCGAUUAGCUAGUUGGUGAGGUAACGGCCCACCAAGGCUCCGAUCGGUAGCUGGUUUGAGAGAGCGACCAGCCACACUGGGACUGAGAAACGGCCCAGACUCCUACGGGAGGCAGCAGUGAGGAAUUUCGCAAUGGGCGAAAGCCUGACGGAGCGACGCCGCGUGUGGGAAGAAGGCCUUCGGGUCGUAAACCACUGUCGAAGGGGACUAUACUGAAGGUACCCUUGGAGGAAGCCCCGGCUAACUACGCGCCAGCAGCCGC